rnacentral:rRNA from 1 species
UAAUACGAAGGGGGCUAGCGUUGUUCGGAAUCACUGGGCGUAAAGCGCACGUAGGCGGAUCUUUAAGUCAGGGGUGAAAUCCCGAGGCUCAACCUCGGAACUGCCUUUGAUACUGGGGAUCUCGAGUUCGGGAGAGGUGAGUGGAACUGCGAGUGUAGAGGUGAAAUUCGUAGAUAUUCGCAAGAACACCAGUGGCGAAGGCGGCUCACUGGCCCGAUACUGACGCUGAGGUGCGAAAGCGUGGGGAGCAAACAGG